ensembl:lncRNA
CAGUGAGGUCCUAUGAGCAAUCUUUACAGUACAGGCCUCCUGACACUCCCUCUAACACUGUCACUAUCCACCACCCUGAAGGAAACAUGCUACUACAACAGCCAAUCUCCUUUCACCUCAGAGCUUCACCCAGGAGACACUCAUAUCACAUCAUCAUCGUCUUCCCCAGCGUAUUCAUCAUCUUCAUCAUUAUCUUUUUCUUCAUCAUGAUGUUCAGAGUUCUGAUUCACCUGGCAGCUCUACCACUCUGGGUGACAGGGCAGUUGUUUAGUAGCAUGGUUCAUCAGAGGCCUGUGGCACUAACAGAAGGUCCUGGAGGAGACGUUCAACUCACCUGCAGCCAUACGAUCCCUAACUACUACGUGAUACUAUGGUACAAACAGUCAGCAGGAGACACUGCUAUGAAACUCAUUGGUUAUGCAAAUUACAAGUUAAUAACCAUGGAGAAAUCAUUUGAAAAGCACUUUAAUGUGAGUGGAGACGGUGGGAAAGAGGCUUAUCUUCAUCUAGUGAGUCUGAGAGGACCUGAACACAGUGCAGUUUAUUACUGUGCAGCCAGCCAACA